rnacentral:rRNA from 1 species
UGUCCCGGUUUAAGCGUGUAGGCUGGUUUUCCAGGCAAAUCCGGAAAAUCAAGGCUGAGGCGUGAUGACGAGGCACUACGGUGCUGAAGCAACAAAUGCCCUGCUUCCAGGAAAAGCCUCUAAGCAUCAGGUAACAUCAAAUCGUACCCCAAACCGACACAGGUGGUCAGGUAGAGAAUACCAAGGCGCUUGAGAGAACUCGGGUGAAGGAACUAGGCAAAAUGGUGCCGUAACUUCGGGAGAAGGCACGCUGAUAUGUAGGUGAAGUCCCUCGCGGAUGGAGCUGAAAUCAGUCGAAGAUACCAGCUGGCUGCAACUGUUUAUUAAAAACACAGCACUGUGCAAACACGAAAGUGGACGUAUACGGUGUGACGCCUGCCCGGUGCCGGAAGGUUAAUUGAUGGGGUCAGCGCAAGCGAAGCUCUUGAUCGAAGCCCCGGUAAACGGCGGCCGUAACUAUAACGGUCCUAAGGUAGCGAAAUUCCUUGUCGGGUAAGUUCCGACCUGCACGAAUGGCGUAAUGAUGGCCAGGCUGUCUCCACCCGAGACUCAGUGAAAUUGAACUCGCUGUGAAGAUGCAGUGUACCCGCGGCAAGACGGAAAGACCCCGUGAACCUUUACUAUAGCUUGACACUGAACAUUGAGCCUUGAUGUGUAGGAUAGGUGGGAGGCUUUGAAGUGUGGACGCCAGUCUGCAUGGAGCCGACCUUGAAAUACCACCCUUUAAUGUUUGAUGUUCUAACGUGGACCCGUGAUCCGGGUUGCGGACAGUGUCUGGUGGGUAGUUUGACUGGGGCGGUCUCCUCCUAAAGAGUAACGGAGGAGCACGAAGGUUGGCUAAUCCUGGUCGGACAUCAGGAGGUUAGUGCAAUGGCAUAAGCCAGCUUGACUGCGAGCGUGACGGCGCGAGCAGGUGCGAAAGCAGGUCAUAGUGAUCCGGUGGUUCUGAAUGGAAGGGCCAUCGCUCAACGGAUAAAAGGUACUCCGGGGAUAACAGGCUGAUACCGCCCAAGAGUUCAUAUCGACGGCGGUGUUUGGCACCUCGAUGUCGGCUCAUCACAUCCUGGGGCUGAAGUAGGUCCCAAGGGUAUGGCUGUUCGCCAUUUAAAGUGGUACGCGAGCUGGGUUUAGAACGUCGUGAGACAGUUCGGUCCCUAUCUGCCGUGGGCGCUGGAGAACUGAGGGGGGCUGCUCCUAGUACGAGAGGACCGGAGUGGACGCAUCACUGGUGUUCGGGUUGUCAUGCCAAUGGCACUGCCCGGUAGCUAAAUGCGGAAGAGAUAAGUGCUGAAAGCAUCUAAGCACGAAACUUGCCCCGAGAUGAGUUCUCCCUGACCCUUUAAGGGUCCUGAAGGAACGUUGAAGACGACGACGUUGAUAGGCCGGGUGUGUAAGCGCAGCGAUGCGUUGAGCUAACCGGUACUAAUGAACCGUGAGGCUUAACCUUACAACGCCGAAGGUGUUU